rnacentral:rRNA from 1 species
AGCUCCAAUAGCGUAUACUAAAGUUGUUGCAGUUAAAAGCUCGUAGUUGGAUUUCUGCGUGAGCGGGGCGGUCGUCCUCAUAUUGAGGAAUGAACCAGCCAAGCCUACGCAUCCGAUCGGAAGCCGUGCUACCAUUAGUUUGGUGGCGCGAGUGAACGAUCCGUUUACUUUGAGAAAAAUAGAGUGUUCAAAGCAGGCCAAUGCCUUGAAUAAUUUAGCAUGGAAUAAUAAUAAAGGACUACGGUUCUAUUUUGUUGGUGUUCGGGACUGAAGUAAUGAUUGAUAGGGACAGUUGGGGGGCGUCAGUAUUCCAAAGCGAGAGGUGAAAUUCUUAGACCUUCGGAAGACUAACCGCUGCGAAAGCGUUCGCCAAGGAUGUUCCC